CCCCCUCAGCCCGUUUUACUGCAGCCGUUCCCACUUGUACCGUCUUUCACUUUGAGCUCGUCCUGUCCAGGCAGAACCCAGUCCGGUUCUACGGGGGUUCUGUUUGCUCUCCUUCGGACCGUUUGAACAAACUGUAAUUCCAUCAGAUUAUCCAGACAGGAUGGUUCAGAGUCUCUCUCAGGAAACCCAGCAGGUUGCAUCCAGUCACUGACCUGCAGCUUUCACUCCUCCUGGAUGAACAUGGAGCUACGGUGGACGGUUGCUGGAAUAGACUUGUUGACUUUGCAGCAAUCCCUCGUAUGGAGCAUUACUUUGCUGUAUAUGAUGGAAAUUUGACACAUUAUAUAUUGAAGUAUUUACAUUUUUCUUUGUUAUUUGACAGUAAAGAGCAUUUGUUUCUGUCAUUAAUGCUAGGAUCAGCAAUUCUUUUCUCACUGCUUCCUGUGAGUCAUUUCAAAAUAAAAUGAAAUCAAUGGUAAAA